rnacentral:tRNA from 1 species
GUUGCUGGAACUCGUUGGAACGAGAAAGAAUUGACUACGAACCAAGGGGUAGUGGGUUCAAUUCCUGCCAGCCGCACCA